UACGUAGGGGGCAAGCGUUGUCCGGAUUUAUUGGGCGUAAAGAGCGUGUAGGCGGCCACACAGGUCAGCUGUGAAAACUCGAGGCUCAACCUCGAGACGUCGGUUGAAACCGUAUGGCUAGAGUCCGGAAGAGGAGAGUGGAAUUCCCGGUGUAGCGGUGAAAUGCGCAGAUAUCGGGAAGAACACCCGUGGCGAAGGCGGCUCACUGGACCAUAACUGACGCUGAUGCACGACAGCGUGGGGAUCAAACAGG
rnacentral:rRNA from 1 species